rnacentral:rRNA from 1 species
UACGUAGGGUGCGAGCGUUGUCCGGAAUUACUGGGCGUAAAGAGUGUGUAGGCGGUGUUCCAAGUCUGGUGUGAAAUCUCCCGGCUCAACUGGGGAGGGUGCGCCCGGAAACUGGAAUGCUAGAGGGUGGGAGAGGUAAGCGGAAUUCCUGGUGUAGCGGUGAAAUGCGUAGAUAUCAGGAGGAACACCUGUGGUGUAGACAGCUUACUGGACCACUUCUGACGCUGAGACACGAAAGCGUGGGUAGCAAACAGG